GAUGAACGCUGGCGGCGUGCCUAAUACAUGCGAGUCGAGCGAACAGACGAGGAGCUUGCUCCUCUGACGUUAGCGGCGGACGGGUGAGUAACACGUGGAUAACCUACCUAUAAGACUGGGAUAACUUCGGGAAACCGGAGCUAAUACCGGAUAAUAUAUUGAACCGCAUGGUUCAAUAGUGAAAGACGGUUUUGCUGUCACUUAUAGAUGGAUCCGCGCCGCAUUAGCUAGUUGGUAAGGUAACGGCUUACCAAGGCGACGAUGCGUAGCCGACCUGAGAGGGUGAUCGGCCAAACUGGAACUGAGACACGGUCCAGACUCCUACGGGAGGCAGCAGUAGGGAAUCUUCCGCAAUGGGCGAAAGCCUGACGGAGCAACGCCGCGUGAGUGAUGAAGGUCUUCGGAUCGUAAAACUCUGUUAUUAGGGAAGAACAAAUGUGUAAGUAACUAUGCACGUCUUGACGGUACCUAAUCAGAAAGCCACGGCUAACUACGUG
rnacentral:rRNA from 1 species